rnacentral:rRNA from 1 species
GAUGAACGCUGGCGGCGUGCCUAAUACAUGCAAGUCGAGCGAACAGAUGAGGAGCUUGCUCCUCUGACGUUAGCGGCGGACGGGUGAGUAACACGUGGAUAACCUACCUAUAAGACUGGGAUAACUUCGGGAAACCGGAGCUAAUACCGGAUAAUAUAUUGAACCGCAUGGUUCAAUAGUGAAAGACGGUUUUGCUGUCACUUAUAGAUGGAUCCGCGCCGCAUUAGCUAGUUGGAAGGUAACGGCUUACCAAGGCAACGAUGCGUAGCCGACCUGAGAGGGUGAUCGGCCACACUGGAACUGAGACACGGUCCAGACUCCUACGGGAGGCAGCAGUAGGGAAUCUUCCGCAAUGGGCGAAAGCCUGACGGAGCAACGCCGCGUGAGUGAUGAAGGUCUUCGGAUCGUAAAACUCUGUUAUUAGGGAAGAACAAAUGUGUAAGUAACUAUGCACGUCUUGACGGUACCUAAUCAGAAAGCCACGGCUAACUACGUG